GCCUCCGUUAGUACAUGGACAAUUCUGAUUGGCCGGUGUGGAACUCUGACGCGGCCUCUGGGCCCGAGGAUGUGGCCUACUCCGGCGCCGGGAAGGGAGGAUGUGCGCCUGAGAACUAGGGAGCCGGAGACCCAGAGCGCCCCCUGGUCGCGUGGAGGGCAAGGAGCAGACGUCGACAACACUCGGAGCAGGACGCGAGCUAGGCCCGCCAGAAACAGCUUCCAAGGAGUAAAAAUGGCCCAAGUGGAUUGGCUACUGUAAAUGCCAAAAAAGAACCGAGAGGUAGAAAUAGCCCUUAGGAAGUGUUGAUGCUGGAGGUCAACCAGGGUCACCAAGAGGAAGUGUCUGCAGAGGUGGAAGUCGGCCCGCAGAGAGGUCUUGCUGCUGUGCUUUGAUCAUAACUUAUAGCUGAGGCUAAUUCUUCCAAGAGUGGCCAUGAGGAUAUUUAGUAAUGUUCCUGAAGCACAGUGCUUUCUGCCCGUGUCAUUCCUCUCUAAAUGGUAUCCUUAAAGGCUGUUCAUUGCUGUAGUACAUAAAAGAGAGGCUCUGUCA